rnacentral:rRNA from 1 species
CGUAGGUGGCAAGCGUUGUCCGGAUUUAUUGGGUUUAAAGGGUGCGUAGGUGGCCCUGUAAGUCAGUGGUGAAAUAUCUCAGCUUAACUGAGAGGGUGCCAUUGAUACUGCAGGGCUUGAGUACAGAUGAGGUAGGCGGAAUUGACGGUGUAGCGGUGAAAUGCAUAGAUAUCGUCAAGAACACCGAUAGCGAAGGCAGCUUACCAAGCUGUAACUGACACUGAGGCACGAAAGUGUGGGGAUCAAACAGGAUUAGAUAUCCUGGUAGUCCACACUGUAAACGUUGAUGACUCGAUGUUGGCGAUACACAGCCAGCGUCCAAGAGCAAUCGUUAAGUCAUCCACCUGGGGAGUACGCCGGCAACGGUG